AGAAAGAGGUAUACAUAUAUAAGCAUAUAUUUAUAUAUGUAUAUGCAUAUAUAUAUAUACAGAAAGAGAGAGAAUGAGAGAGAGAGGUGUCAUGACCGACGACCAAGGAACAGGGAAAUAGAAAUAACAACGUAGCACACAUAU
rnacentral:ribozyme from 1 species